rnacentral:rRNA from 1 species
GAGGGCAAGUCUGGUGCCAGCAGCCGCGGUAAUUCCAGCUCUCAAAGUGUAUGUCAUUAUUGCUGCGGUUAAAAAGCUCGUAGUUGGAUCUGAGCCCGUGGAUACAGUUCACCUCUGUGUGAUACUGUCAUCCUGGGUUAAUUUCGUCGGUCUUCCGGCGAGAGUUACUCUGAACAAAUCGGAGUGCUCAAAACAAGCGUUUCGCUUGAACGUUUUUGCAUGGAAUAAUGGAAAAGGACUUCGGUUCCUUACUGUUGGUUUCGGAAUUGGAUUAAUGAUUAAGAGGGACCAACGGGGGCAUACGUAUCGCUGCGCGAGAGGUGAAAUUCAUGGACCGCAGCGAGACGACCUACAGCGAAAGCAUUUGCCAAGAAUGUCUUCAUUAAUCAAGAACGAAAGUCAGAGGUUCGAAGGCGAUUAGAUACCGCCCUAGUUCUGACCGUAAA